UUCCUGAGAGGCGGUGGCUGCUCCUGACAGGAGCGGCGGAGGCGGCGAAACUUCGGCUCCCUAAGUUCUGCCCUCGGAUCUACGUGUAGCGGAAAUGAACCCCCAUCGGCCCCAAGGCAGUAGGCCGUGGAGCUGCGGGGGUCCUGAGCCGAGACCUGCUGCCCACGGCUGUAAACGCGAGGCCGGGGCUGGAGAGAGGCCUGAGGGCCUGAGUUAGACGUGAGGGGAUUUCCCGCGGCGUGGACUUAGAGCGGAGGGGGGAGAAGGGGGGCGGGGUUCAGAGCCCCGCCCCUUUACAUUACAGAUGGGGAGACUGAGGCAUGGGGAGGUUAUUCAAAGCUGCAGGGCCUCGAAGCCUGUCCCCUUACAUUGUAGAUGGGGAAGAUCAUGGACUCAGAGCCUUACUCCUUUAUAUUACAAAUGGAGAAACUGAGGCACAGGGAGGAAAAGGCUCGGAGCUGGAAGAGAGCCUCAGAGUCCUGCCCUGUCAUAAGUGGAGAAACGGAGGCACAAAAAUUAUUAUAGACCGAGGAGUCCUAGAGACCAAUGCGUCUCAACAGAUAAGGAAACUGAGGCGCAGAGAUUAAUGGUUUUAAAAGAUCAUGGAAUCAAGUUGCAAGGAACCUCAAAAGCUAUUGAUGUCCACCUCUUCCUUCUUCCCCCUCCCCCCCUCGUUUUAAAGACGAGGACACUUGGGGCUCUAGGAAUGGAACCGGUCUAGUCCAGCCCCUGCACACACUUUACAAGAAGAAAACAAGUCCAUGUUUUCCAUGGCUAUGUAGGUACUAAAUGGGAGAAUUCACACCCAGGUCCUCCUAUUCCUCUUUCUGCUAUACCAUGCUGAUUAACCUGGCACUAGGAUAAUGAAUGUGAAUGAAAUCCACAAUUAAUUCCUUGGGAGGUCCUUUGGUUGAAAGUGAUGACUGCUCAACAAUGAUCCAGACCUAGAAGAAACUUUAGAGAUCCAUGAACGCAACCCCUUUAUUUUACAAACUAAGGUCCAUAAAGGGGAAAUAAUUUGCCUAGGAUCCCACUGGUAGCAAAUGAUGGAGCAAGGAUUUGAAUGCAGGUCCUUUAAAAAAAUUAUUUAUACUAGGUAACCAUUGUUUGGUAUGUCAGUCUUUUGGAAUGAUUUAUGAAAACAUUGCCUCCAUUUACAUAAAGGUGUAAGGCUUGAAAGAACUUGGGUAAGAGCGGUGUUUAUCCCAGAGAGAUGAUAGAGAUAGCUCUGUCACCUACCACCUGUGUGAUUUUGGGCAAGUCAUUUUAUGUCUUUGCAUUUCAGAAAUUAGGAAGUUGAACAAGAUGGACUUUUGAGAUCACUUCCAGCUGAAAAUCUACAAUUCUCUGAAGACAGGAUAGUUGUAUUCAAGUACUUGAAGAUCUGCUACUUUGGACAUUGAUUUGUUUUUGUGCCCAGAGAACAGAAGGUGCAAGGGAAAAGAAACUAAAGUUCCACCCCUACUUUUAAGAAAUUUAAAGUCUGAAGAUGGAAUGUGGCCACCCUUUGAAAUUUGAGGGAGGUAAGUUUAGGAGAAAUAAAAUGAAGUAAUUUUUUAAAAUAACUUUUUAUUGACAGAACCCAUGCCAGGGUAAUUUUUUACAACAUUAUCCCUUGCACUCGUUUCUGUUCCGAUUUUUCCCCUCCCUCCCUCCACCCCCUCCCCCAGAUGGCAAGCAGUCCUUUACAUGUUGAAUAGGUUACAGUAUAUUCUAGAUACAAUAUAUGUGUGUAGAACCAAACAGUUUUCUUGUUGCAUAGGGAGAAUUGGAUUUUGAAGGUAUAAAUAACCCGGGAAGAAAAACAAAAAUGCAAGCAGUUUAUAUUCAUUUCCCAGUGUUCUUUCUUUGGGUGUAGCUACUUCUGUCCAUCACUGAUCAAUUGAAACUGAAUUAGCUCUCUUUAACAAAGAUCUACUUCCAUCAGAAUACAUCCUCAAACAGUAUUGUUGUUGAGGUAUAUAAUGAUCUCCUGGUUCUGCUCAUUUCACUUAGCAUCAGUUCAUGUAAGUCUCGCCAGUCCUCUCUGUAUUCAUCCUGCUUGGUCAUUCCUAAAAUGAAGUAAUAAAAUUGUGUUUUACUAUUCCAGGAGGUGAUACUGAUAGAAAAUGUGCGGGAAUUAAAAAAGAUUUAGAUAAUUUAUGAAUUGUAGAGCCAUAAAUGGCCUAAAAAGCAUGUAGUUGACUUUAGGGGACAUAGUCAUGUUUUCCUACACUAGUUAUGGUAGCCUUAGAUCUCAUGAGGCUCAAAGUAUCUGGGCUCUAAUUCUAUCAACCACUAAUUGGUUGUGUGACCUUGGACAAAUGGCAUCAUUUUACCGAACUUGUUUUCUCAUCUUUGAGUUCCCUUUUUUCCUCUAUACUUCAGAAGCAUCAUCUCCCAUUUUCUCCUUCUUUGCCAUAGUCUUUAAUGACAAGGUGAUCCUCUUUGCCAAAGACAGUCCUUCAGUUUGUACCUUUGAUCCCAUCCUUUCCCGUCUCCUUCAUUCACCUUCCUUCAUUUGGUCACUUUCAUCUUCAGUUUUCUUCUCUACUAGGAUCCUUGUGCUUCUUACAAGCAUUCUAGGCUCCCUGAUCUCCUUCAAAGCCCAGCUUAGGUCAGGUAUCAUCUGUAUGAGCUUUCCUAAUCUCAAUUUUUAACAGCUCUUCCUCAUGAAAUUACUUUCCAUUGUUUUGAGUGGACCUUAUCUCUACUAUUGCAUCCUUUUAAUUAAAUAUAUACUCCUUGCAGGCAGAGAUGCUUAUUUUGUCUUUGUAUAUUUAUAACUUUUGUACCUAAUAGUACAAUUCAUGUAGGAGAAACAAUGUUUAUUGAAUCUGCAAAUUGUUAUUUUUACUAAGUCAUCUGCUAAGACCUUUUAAGCUCUAAGACUCCAUAAUUCUGUUGUGGCUUUUGUUGGUCGACAGAAGAUGGGACAAGAUGAACCAUGGGUCUUUCACAGCAUGAUGAAUGUUUUGGUCCUGGAGAAGAUGAGCAAAAAACUAUGCAGAUUUUUUUUUUUUUCUUUGCUGUUAUUUUUCUUAUGAGGAACUGGAGAUACUGCUUAAUGACCAGUUUUGAUUAUUUACCAAUGCCUUAUUUUGGGGAAAGUGUGAGCCUUCCUUUUGACUCUUUAGCCUCAUUUUUACUAAUAUUUUUUCUUGUAUUAUCAUACUCAUUUUACUUAAUAAAGCAUCAAAGUUGCUUUUUACAAAUGUUUGUUAAUGUCAAAUCAUUUUCUUCCAUUCUUAGCCAAUGUUUUUCUUUCUCAAAUACGGAUAUUUAUAUAUUGUUUCAUUUAUAACACAUUCUUUUAUUUUUAUGAAACCCUUUUUUAUAUGUUCACUGUGUCUACCUCUAAUAAACCAAAACUUAGAUUUAAAAAAAAUAAAAUCAAAAUAGGGUUAGCUUUAUACUUGUUUAAUUAUUUUUGUUAAAACCCAACCCAAAUUCAGCUUCCUCCAUGAAGUCUUCUCUAAUUCUCCCCAUUAUUAAUGACCUGUUCUACCUGGAAUCUAUGUAGCAUUUUGCUUCUUUGUAGUGAACUUAUUUAUUGAUUAUUCUGUCUUAUAAUUUGUUAUCCCUGUCAUAGCCUCAUCUUACUAGACUAUAAGUUCUGUGAAAGCAAGGACUUGUGUAUCUUAAACUUUGUUCUGUCUUCUUCCACAUCACCUAACACAGGGGUUAACACAUUUGUAGUCAUUCAAUUGUGUCUAACUCUUUGUGAGCCUAUGGACCAUAGCAGCCCAAUAGUAUCCAUAAAGUUUUUGUAAUAAAGAAAUUUGAAUGAUUUGCCAUUUUCUUCUCUAAUGGAUUAAGGUAAACAGUUUAAGUAAUUUGUCCAGGGUCACACAGGUAGUAAGAGUCUGAAGCUGGAUUUGAACUCAGGCCUUCCUGACUGCAUGCCCAGUGCUUCAUCCACUAAGCUACCUAUCUGCUUUGUACAUAUUAAGUAUUUAGUAAAUGUUAAAUUGGAUCAUUAGAUUGUCCCAUCCUCCAUUCCUGUGAUGCUAGAGACUUUUAGUUGUUUUAAUAAGUGAGAGAAUAUACAGAGGAAAUGUUGAAAGUGCGGAGUGGAAGAUGACUUAAAAGAUGAAGCCUCUUACAAGCACCAUUUAUACAGCCUGUGAUCUACCUAAACAAGGGCUUAAUCUGUUCUGAGUAACUCCUAUAAUUAUAAUUCCUUUCUUCUUGGUUUUUUAAAAAUCCUGUUAGAUUUUUUUGUCUUGGGGUUGUUGGUGUUGUGAACAAUUUUUGUUCUUUAGAGCUUCAGAAUAAAGGUAUUAUGAAAAUCAAAUAAAUCACAUUGGCUAUAAUAA